CACAACAAAACAAUAGAAGGUGUUCUCCUAUACGUUAUAAGAGAUGUAGUCAGCAUCUCUUAUAUAAACCAAGAGAAGGCUUGCUGAUCGGUUUGGUGAACACCUUGGGACCAUCAGAAGUGAGGACACUCACAAGAUUUGGUAUCAACUGAAAUGCUGACUAUAAGAUAGUAUGUGAUUCUAUCCUUCAUGGUCUUCUCUCUUCGCUCAAAGAUUUGUAAAGAAGGCUUGGAAAAGAAGUCCCUCUUAAAAGUUACUGUUGUAUUUGUUUUUGAUGACCCUUUAUUUAACCAUUAUGAGCAUAUUAUAGUAUACCUGAUUAUAAUUAUAGCUAAAGUUUAUAUACAUAAAAUUACAUUUAUCAGAAAAAUACCCUUACAUGUGACCUUUGUACACAUGGAUCUACGUGAUUGCAUAUCUAUAUUAGUGAAAUUGUGAAAACAUUGUAAAUCUAUGGACACGUUAAUAGCUUUUCAGUUUUAUUUAAA